UACGAGUGCCUCAAGCGUUAUCCGGAAUUAUUGGGCGUAAAGGGUGUGUAGGCGGUUUUGUUAGUCUUCUGUCAAAUUCUUCGGCUUAACCGGGGGUCCGCAGAGGAAACGGCAAAACUUGAGGAUGCGAGAGGUGAAUGGAACUCAUAGUGUAGGGGUGAAAUCCGUUGAUAUUAUGGGGAACACCAAAAGCGAAGGCAAUUCACUGGCGCACUCCUGACGCUGAAACACGAAAGCGUGGGUAGCGAAUGGG
rnacentral:rRNA from 1 species